GUUUUUGGUUUCUAAAUUGUGUUGACAAGAAAGGAAAAACUGCUUUGUUUUUCGUUUUUCCGUUUUUGAUUUUAAAUGGAAAUGGAAAUGGAAGUAGUUUCAGUUUUUCGUUUUGGUUUUCCGGAAAAAAAACUUUGAUUGUACAGGUCAUAGAUAUCCAUAAUAAAGGCCUUUAUUAUGGAUAUCUAUGGUACAGGUGGCAUAUUUGAAUAACUAUUGUUGAGCACUGCAACAGAUCAAGAUUCAAAAAUCAAGACUAAGCAGUAGAUGCUAUGAAUGGACGGACCCAGGAAUUGGACCUACCCAUCAUUCGGUUCCCACAUCCAAUCAGUGUGCGCAGCAUCAUCGACAUCCAAUCACUAUGUAGAAGUUUGGGCGCCACCCAAAUAGUUAAUGUUUGAAAUUAUUCAUCACUGAUACUCAGGCGAUAACAGGGUAAAGUUAGCACAAUGUAUGGGUUGUUUUAUUUCGUAGACGGGUCCGUUAUUGCAGAUAGUACAUCUAUUAUACAGGAUGCAUAUAUAAAUGCUGGUAUUACAGUCACCUGCAAGGAAGACCUCCAGUCCCAGGAAGGCUGGAUAGAGGUGAUUUUACCAGCUAAACGCAAGCAAGAUCCGAAGCCGGUUGCAGCCAAACUGCUGUUCAUGGCCGGAAAACUACAAAGAAGUAGUCCAGAAGUGUGUUGCUUACCUCAAGUGGGAGGAUAUAUGGUCUUCCUUCGGUCAGUCUGGCCAGAAGAAGGGGGCGGUGAAUCAAGGAAUGACCUCUGGUUCACAGACGGCCAAGAUGGGCGAACAGCUGAAGAGGGACCUCAAACGGCAACCUACAAGACCACUCAGUUCUACUCCUGCUAGAUAUCAGUCUGAUUCCGACGACACAUGUUGUGAUAUUUUUGAUCCACCCAAAAAACGAAAAAUGGUGGUACACAUCAGUGAGGAGGAGGAGACGCCAUCCCUCAGGCGGAGUCUCAGCGGCCAGGGACGGAGCCUGCAGUUUUUGCUGAAAUGGAUGAGGACAGUUUGAAGGCUCUGAAAGGUGUCAUUGGGCAACUCAACAGUGAGAGUUCCAAAACGCCUCUAUCAGAAGCUGAGUGGGAGGAGGAUGUCCCUCUUCACACAGGAACUGGCCACAUUGGUGUUUGGCGGGAAAACUUUGGCCAAGGCAACUCUCACAGGGAAAGGAAAAAAAGAUGCAGUGAGGGAGCGAUUCCCCAACACCGAGGUGGCAGAGAUCCGGGCCCUUCUACGAAGGAAGUGCAACAAUGAGAGCUACAAGGCCUCUAGUAAUUCAAGUCAGAGCUAGAUGUGCAUUGUGUAAUAAGUUGUUCGCCAUUGUUCUGUUCCCGGCAUUUCAGAGAAAGGUGACAGUUCAAGGUGUUGAUCAAGCAGUAACUGCUUUUGUAUGUUACUUUCGUGGUAAUAAUAAAGAUCCUUUUCUGAAA